ACUUUGGCCCAAGUUAUUUUUUACCAAAGCAAAAUUCGAUAUCUAUUUAUAAUAUAGUAAUUGUGAAGCGCGCAAUGUAGCGUUGCCAAAUCAUCUAUCUUAUACUCACAUAAGUUUGCCACAUCAGAAUUUUUAAUUACGUGUCAUUGCAUCUCCUACAUUUUACACAACAUACUAUCAAUUUCUAUGCGCCGUUUUUUGCGUUCUUCUCUUUUCCCCUCUCCAGCAUAUCGAGCAUUGAUUCAAGACUAUUUCUUUAGGGGACGCGCCGAUCUAGAAUGCCACCUCCUCUUAGCUUGCGGCCGCCACUUCCAUUCUCUCACAAACUGAGCUACAACCACCAAAUCGCUUGCACAACCGCACUCAUCCCUCUUUCCAAAUCGCGCUCCCUACAACCUCGCGCGACCUUCACCCAGCGCUGCCUUCAUUUAUCCAGCGCCGUUGCCGCCUACUCUCGCCGGGACAAACACCACCAUCGUUCACGCAUCUGGUUUGCUUCUUUGACGUUUUAUCUCUUCCUUCUCUGUUUGAAAAUGAUUUAUCAUGCUGAUGAACAAAUUGUUAUUGUUAUUCUUUUGUUAGUAUGUUGUCUAUUACCAUUAUGUACAGUGAAGCUCUGAGAUGCUUGACAGUUUUGAUACAAUUAAUUUAAUUUGGAAUGAAAUUGAACUUGAUCCCAAUCUUUUCAAAUUCUUUUGUUAUUGUUAUUCUUUUGUUAGUAUGUUGUCUAUCUGGUGUGGCUUAUGGCAACAAGGAGGUAUCAUUCUUUCUUAUCAAAACAUAUUUUCCUUUGAAAAUUGACAGCCUCUUUUACUUGAUGCACGCUACAUGUUGCUAAUUUGCUAUGCGAUUGGCAAAUCUUAAAACCCGACCAAUCCACAUCGAGCUCAAGGUCUUAAUGAAGUUUAAGGAUCUCAGGCUAGAACCCACUCAGGCCUUCACGAAUCACGAUGAUGAUCAGACUAAGGAGCCCAAGAUGUUGUUUGCUCUGAUCCACUUCAGAAGAUGCCUACUAAGAUCCGACGCUUCUUUUGAGACUCCCUUCUAAGG